rnacentral:rRNA from 1 species
AUUGAACGCUGGCGGCAGGCCUAACACAUGCAAGUCGAACGCGUCGCGGAGGGGUGAGUUAUGUCUGGGAAUCCCCCUGAUGGAGGGGGAUAACUACUAGAAACUGUCUCUUAUACCGUAUUCCAUCAUAUGUGCCCAGAUGGGAUUAGCUAGUGGGUGGGGUAACGGCUCACCAAGGCGACGAUCCCUAGCUGGUCUGAGAGGAUGACCAGCCACACUGGAACUGAGACACGGUCCAGACUCCUACGGGAGGCAGCAGUGGGGAAUAUUGCACAAUGGGCGCAAGCCUGAUGCAGCCAUGCCGCGUGUAUGAAGAAGGCCUUCGGGUUGUAAAGUACUUUCAGCGGGGAGGCGUUACCCGCAGAAGAAGCACCGGCUAACUCCGUGCCAGCAGCCGCGGUAAUUC